rnacentral:rRNA from 1 species
GUCUACGGCCAUGCCACCCUGAACAAGCCCAAUGCCAUCCGAUCUUGGAAGCUAAGCAGGGUCUGACCUGGUUAGUACUUGGAUAGGAGACCACCUAGGAAGACCAGGUGCUGUAGACG